UACAGAGGGUGCAAGCGUUAAUCGGAAUUACUGGGCGUAAAGCGCACGUAGGCGGUUCUUUAAGUCAGAUGUGAAAGCCCCGGGCUCAACCUGGGAAUUGCAUUUGAAACUGGGAAACUAGAGUGUGUGAGAGGGGGGUAGAAUUCCAGGUGUAGCGGUGAAAUGCGUAGAGAUCUGGAGGAAUACCGAUGGCGAAGGCAGCCAUCUGGCCUAAUACUGACACUGAGGUGCGAAAGCAUGGGGAGCAAACAGG
rnacentral:rRNA from 1 species